rnacentral:tRNA from 1 species
UAUCUUAAAGUAAAAUUUUACAUUUAAUUUCGACUUAAAAUUCUGUUUGCAUAAACUAAGAUAA